GCCAUGAUGGCUGGAGUCCACUUACCAUAUUGGAGGUGCUGUUGGUAGAGCAUGGGACUCUUAAUCUCAGGGUCAUGGGUUUGAGUCCCACAUACCUGCAUUGCA